GACCCAAAAGAUGGUGAACUAUGUCUGGGCAGAGUGAAGCCAGAGGAAACUCUGGUGAAGGUUCAUAGCGCUCCUGAUGUUCAAAUCAGUCAUCCAACCUGGGUAUAGAGGCAAAAGAUUAAUUGAACCAUCUAGUAGCUGA
rnacentral:ncRNA from 1 species